CAUAUCGGAAAAAAAACAUUCAAAUCCAAUGCGGCCUAUUUUGACCAAUGCAUAGAGUAACUAUCAAAUUUAUAAACAUAGUCGAUGAUUUUAUGAUCACAUCCUACACUCUAAAAAACGUUGGGUUGUUUUUUCAACACAACUGCUGGGUUGAGCCAGUUGGGUUAUUUUGUUGGGUAGUUUUUGUGUAACCCAACUCGUUGGGUUAAAUGUUGGGUAAUUUUGAAGCAGAGCCAACUUAAUAGAUACAUAUAGCCGUUUCUCAAUAUUACUUUGUCUAGUCCACAAAAUGUAUUUUUAAGAUAAGUUUAGGUGAGAAUAUAUGUAUAAUGUUGAAAUUUGCAGUCAAUUUGUAAAGAGAGCGCCAAUUUUAAAAUUUUAUUACACAUAGUCGGAAUGUUACCGGCGCGACCACCGGGUGUCAGUGUUGUUCUUCCCCAGAGAGAACUCCUCCCAUCCCCCCACACAGACGCGUCAGCUGAACUCCUGCUUCUCACUGCAACGUUACCUGACGCGGGAGUUUAUCACCUCAGGAUUUAUGAACGGUUUUUCAUCGACUUAUCUUUGAUUUAUUGAAGGAAAAGAGUUCACAAGACUUCUCUAUGUUAUUACCUGACCAUGCCGAAAAGCUAUUUGAAACUUGGGCAUUGCAUUUUACAGACAGAAUCCUGCAACUUCCCAUCCAGGAACAUCAACAAAUCACCUCCAGAACCCCAUGAUGAUAUUCCAACUCCUGUCUACAAAAGUGGAAAAAAAUCUUAAGUCUACAUGUUGGGACCAACAUGAUUGCAUUCUUGUGAGAGGCUGAGGUGACAAAACCAUUCCCUUUUGUCCUUGGAUUGGAAGAUGACGAUCUCUGCCAUCAAGCCUUCGUUGUUUUUGACAGACAGUCACUCCAGCAAUACACCCUCCUUGGUGAUGUUGACAUGUUUUAAACUUUUUUUAUGUUUUGGACAUUAAUUUUACUAAGCAGUGCACAUCAGUAUGGGUGUUUUUGCAGACCGUUGUUUAGAAACUCCCAAGAACGGAAUUCCCUUUUGUAAGAAGUCUGUGCAGUUAUUUCAUUUGUCAUGCUAAGGUGAUUCAUGUUGAUCAUAUGUUGACUGUUUGUGCAACUAUGUGUUGAUCUUAUUUGUUACAUUAACUAUUUCUUAUUACACGGUUCUGUAAAAUGCUAGAUUCUGAUUGGCCAGUCGUGACAUUCUACUACUGCUCAAAACUAAAAACUCCGAUGCUGCAAAUCAUUUUGACAGGUACAGUUUAAUAUUAGUAGUAGAAGAACUUUAUUGUCCCCGUGGGGCAAUUGGAUUUGCGGCGCAGUCUCAAGGCACUACAUGACAACAUAUAACAAAAACCAAUACGAUACAUUACAAAAACACUAAAAUACAUACAUACAAAUAAAAUACCAUCGGGUCUAACCCUGCCAGCUGGACAGAUAGCUUAUUUUAAUUGAUUUAACUCCUUAAUGGCUUGUGGUACAAAAGAAAAUUUUGAUCUGUUCUUGGUCAUAAGAGGUGGGCAGAAACGACGCCUAGAUGGUAAUAAAUUAAAAUGGGAUGCUAAUGGGUGUGUGUGAUCGCAUACAAUGUUUUUGGCUUUUUUCAACAUUCUGUCCUUGUAGAUGAUAUUAAACAAAAAUUAAAUGUCAAUUUCUAUUAAUAACAUAUCCGACAUUACAUUUACAAAUUAUUAAACCAAUGUGUUCGUGAUAUUUGUCCUGAAGAAACUGUUGGGGCUUUUUUUGUGAUAACCUGCUGCCAAUACAUUAUCCCUUACUUGUACAACUUUUUACUUUUGUAAUGUUAACUGGGCAUCUGUAAUUUUAGAUUAUGAGAUAUGAAAUAUACAUUUUUUUAAUCAGAAAUGUGAUUUUUUGUGUAGGGCUAUGUACUCUUUUAUUGUUCAUGUGCAAUAAAUAUGCUUUUUUAAUUAAAUCAAUGCUUUGUUAUUUAUAGACACCACAAUGAAAGGAAUGAAAGCAAUUUAAACCACCAAAAUUUCAGCUUUAAACACAUUAACCAAACAUUGGGUUGUUUCAACCCAACAAAAAGUUAUUUCUACCCAACAGAUGGGUUAAAAAAAUUAACCCAACGAGUUGGGUAGAUUGUACAACCCAACUUGUUGGGUUAAAAUAACCCAGCAUUGGGUUGGUCCAUAUUUAACCCAACGUUUUUUAGCGUGUAGGAUACCCUUUGAACUUAAAGCUUAAAUGACCAAAACCUUAAGAUUAAGGUCUGGUUUCACAGACAAGGCUUAGCUAAAGCCAGGACUAGAAUCUUUUAUAAACAUGCCUUAGAAAAAGAUGUUACUGGGGUGCAUCUUGAGCCAUAUCAAUAGCAAUGGCAUAUUUUAAGAUCUGUCAGUGCAAGUUGUUUUCAAUUGAGAAAUUCAAACAUGAGUUUUAAGCCUCCAGGGCAAAUUUAGGUUGGGCAUUAAUAUACAUUUCUUUAUAAAAUGAUUUCUUUUGUCUUUUAAAUGAGUGAGUUAUGUGUCAUCAAUGGUGACUCUUUCAAUAAUGCAAAGUGUGCAAAACUGUACAUAAGGCAAAAGGUAAUUAAAGCUAAAAUAUAAUAAACAUUCUUAACUAAUUAAUUCCCAUAAAUUAUUUUAUUUUAUUCUUAUUUUAUACAUUUAACACCUUUAUAAUGAAUAACGAAUGAUUAAGUCUUAAAGUGGCCAUGUCACAAGACUUUAAGAUGUCAAAUAAAUCUUUGGUGUCCCCAGAGCACAUAUAUGUUAAGUUUUAGCUCAAAAUACCAUAUAAAUAAUUUAUUAUAGCAUGUAAAAAUUGACACUUUGUAGGUGUGAGCAAAAAUGUGGCGUUUUGGGGUGCGUCCUUUAAAAUGCAAAUGAGCUGAUGAAGUGCAAACACUGAUCACAAUGAUGGCGGUUUGUUGCAAUUGAAACUCAAUUGUACUGUGAGUUAUUUUCUCUCUUUUUCUCUACACUAAAUGGCAGUGCUGUGAUUGGAUAGGACAGAUUAAGGGGAAGUAUUAUGAGAUCAUAAGGAGAGCCAAAUUUCAACAACCUAUUUUUUCAUGUGCUUGUAGAGAAUGGUUUACCAAAACUAAGUACUGAGUUGAUCUUUUUCACAUUUUCUAGGUUAAUAGAAGCACUGGGGACCCAAUCAUAGCACUUAAACAUGGAAAAAGUCAGAUUUUCAUGCCAUGGCCCCUUUAAGUAGAGGUCUUCUCGGCUCCAAAGAAAUGUACCAGACCCGAAAUGACUUGAAUCACUUUUUAAGUUAGUGCUGUGUUCAAAAUAUCGAUACGACGAUACAUUUUCAUGAACCUUCCAUAUCGAUUCAGAUGCACUUUUGAAAGUAGCGUGACGAAUCGCUGUUGCUCCGUGAUCAAUAUGGAAUGGGUGCAUGUGACUCAUGGAGUGCGUAGAGUGAAAGGUAGUGGGGUAUACUUUCACUUUCCGUGUCCGUCUCGCGGGCGCACGCAUCUGACAACUUGCGCGCCGCGUACUCUCUUGCACGCGUGCGUAUUUAAAAUCAAUGAGUUCAGUAUGAAAGUCCAGAUAUCUUAGCCUAUACUACUGCAAAGGGCUUUAUUAGCGACUCUCUUAUAAAACAGUACUAACGCAUUUGAGAAGAAACAUGACAAAGAGCUGCAUGUGAAAAGUGUAACAUAUGUCUAGAGAAGAGAUACAGAGCUACUUCAAACUAUAGCUGUCACCUAAAUAAUCUGAUAGAUAUAGAAUAAUUAAAUGAGAGACAAAUAUAAUGCCUAAAGUAAGGCACAAUCUUUGUAAAACUGUUUUGAAGAAAACAUGUUAAGUACUAACUUAAUUUUAAGUAUUUCGACAAGCUACCCCAAAAGCUAAUAAAUGGCAAAAACACAACUGUUCCAACACUGCUUAUUCAAUGUACAACAUACAGAUAAUAAUGUUACUAAAUUCUGAACAAAAAUGUCAUUCAAAAUAGUCUUGUAUUGUGAUGUGCAUCGUAUCGUGGCCUUGUAUCGGGAUACGUAUUGUAUCGGGAAAUUGUUGGCGAUACACAGCCCUAACACAUGAGACAAUUCGGGUUGUCUCGGGUACAAUCGGAAAAACACAUUCAUUUAAAAUUACACAAGACUAGGGGUGGGCGGUAUGAGCAAAA